GAGAGCGGGGUAGAUAGGUUUACAUGUGAUGUAACAAACCCAAUUGAGACCUAAAUUAAAACCUCCUCAAUCAAGUCGAGAGUGAACCAACAUGAGCGAAUCAUAUUAGAUUAAUUGAUCUAAUUGGUGUCUAGGAAAGCAUGAAAGGUGGUUACUUAAUUAGGACCUAACUCUCUGAGUAAGGGGAGCCUCCCACCUGCUUACCUGGCCAAUUGUUCGAUUACCUCUUAUGAAGAGCUCAAGUUGCAAACACUAAGACCUAAUUAACCAAUAUUAAGUCAAUAGAUCUUCCACUGUAGUAGAGCUGCUAAGGUCUUUCUGAUGUUGAUUUGUCUCGGCUGG
rnacentral:lncRNA from 1 species